GUGAGAGGAGACAUUACUGGUGUAAUUUUGUUAGUACGGCCACAGCCGUGUGAGGACGUCAAACACAGGUUCAGGACGUCCUAAUAUAGCCAUGGGGAAUUCACAAACUACCCGGAUAUUUGAAGGCUCUGAACAAAUAGAGUGUUCUCCACGUAUAGAAGAGAGUGACUUCCAGAAAAUGAUCCAGUCUGGGGUGACAGAACAAGACCGGCGUGUGCUGAGGGGCGGGAUGACCCUUCUAGGGGAACACCCUUCCUGGGUGUGGAAGAAUGCUGUUGUCCGCUGUAUAGGAGACAACAUCGACUACUGCUUUUGGAGUGGGAGCAGCACCAACCGGUUCGUGGUAUGUUUCGAUCAAAACCACGAGGUGGAGAAACAAUGCAACAGCUCAGGCUGGGCUCUGCGUC